AUACGUAGGGGGCGAGCGUUGUCCGGAAUGAUUGGGCGUAAAGGGCGCGUAGGCGGCCCGGUAAGUCUGGAGUGAAAGUCCGGUUUUUAAGAUGGGAAUUGCUUUGGAUACUGUCGGGCUUGAGUGCAGGAGAGGUAAGUGGAAUUCCCAGUGUAGCGGUGAAAUGCGUAGAGAUUGGGAGGAACACCAGUGGCGAAGGCGACUUACUGGACUGUAACUGACGCUGAGGCGCGAAAGUGUGGGGAGCAAACAGGAUUAGAUACCCUGGUAGUCCACACUGUAAACGAUGAAUGCUAGGUGUAGGGGGUAUCGACCCCUUCUGUGCCGCAGUCAACACAAUAAGCAUUCCGCCUGGGGAGUACGGCCGCAAGGUUGAAACUCAAAUGAAUUGACGGGG
rnacentral:rRNA from 1 species